rnacentral:rRNA from 1 species
UGGGGAAUAUUGCACAAUGGGCGAAAGCCUGAUGCAGCAACGCCGCGUGAGUGAUGAAGGUCUUCGGAUUGUAAAGCUCUGUCUUUUGGGACGAUAAUGACGGUACCAAAGGAGGAAGCCACGGCUAACUACGUGCCAGCAGGCCGCGGUAAUACGUAGGUGGCGAGCGUUGUCCGGAUUUACUGGGCGUAAAGGGUGCGUAGGCGGAUGUUUAAGUGAGAUGUGAAAUACCCGGGCUUAACUUGGGUGCUGCAUUUCAAACUGG